rnacentral:sRNA from 1 species
UUAUCUUGACAAAAUCGGUGCAGGUUUCAUUCAUCUUAGUUCGAAUUGCAGAAAAUUCUGAUCAGAUAAUUACGAUGGCAUGUCCAAGGAAAAAGUUUUACAAAUUGCCACAACUUCGCACUAAGACGAUUGCAGACCCAGGUCCGCUCCAUCCCAGACCCAAUGGGUUUGAGUCCGCUUCAAUCCGAGUUCAGCUCUGAGUCAACGAUUUUGUGAAUUUUGAGAUAUAUGUACAACCAGAGAAAAGCUGUGAAGGGUCAAAUGAGCAUAAUAGAAGCAGAGAAAGACGGUUACUAGUGACGGUGAGAACCCUUUUUUUAGUGUACUGUAAUCUCUUAAACAUUGCAAACAUUCUAAAAUUGUGUUC